UACGUACGAGGCGAGCGUUAUCCGGAAUUAUUGGGCGUAAAGAGCUCGUAGGCGGUCUGUCGCGUCUGCUGUGAAAACUCGGGGCUUAACCCCGGGCCUGCAGUGGGUACGGGCAGACUAGAGUGCGGUAGGGGAGACUGGAAUUCCUGGUGUAGCGGUGAAAUGCGCAGAUAUCAGGAGGAACACCGAUGGCGAAGGCAGAUCUCUGGCCGUAACUGACGCUGGAGGAGCGAAAGCGUGGGGAGCGAACAGG
rnacentral:rRNA from 1 species